GAGAAAGAAAUCCGCCCCGAGAUGCACCUGCAGCCCCGCGCCCAUCCGUGCAUGGCUGCGGCUGUGCCUGCCCGCGAGCGGGGACCAGCGGCCGCCGAGUCCGUCCACAUCGCCAGGCCAGGAGUCAGAACAAGGACAGGCCUGUGAUGUGUCCGUCUAUGACGAAGAGGACAAUGUCCUAAGGAAUGGAGAGGAAGAAAGUGAAGGGAACCAGGUCCCUGGAUUCCAUGUGGAACAGUAGUCCAGGAUGUUCACUACGGACUGUUACAAGAAAAAGAGAGACAUGAUCUUCCUUAAGGCAUUGAUUUAUCAUGGGUCUCUUUGUUAUAGCCACUUAAUGUUACCUUAAUACACCCACUUCAUGGAUAAGUAAAACUGAGGCUUGGAGAAGCCCACAUUGACACAGCAAAGAAGGCUGGGGCUCUUGUGCUGGUUAAAUGGACCUUGAUGUCUCCCAAAUGUUUUCAUGCUGGAUUCUGAGCCACUCUCCUGGCUGCAACUCUGAGGCCGGGCAGACUUCCCACUGGAAAGAGAACUCGAAUACUGGUGAGAGGUGGAUUUGAAGCCAGGAGCCCCAGGUUUUGGCUCUGCAGGUUUGCACCCAGCUCCGUGGUGUGUGCUCUCACAGGUCACCCG
rnacentral:antisense_RNA from 1 species